UACGUAGGUGGCAAGCGUUGUCCGGAUUUAUUGGGCGUAAAGCGAGCGCAGGCGGAAAGAUAAGUCUGAUGUGAAAAGCCCCCCGGCUUAACCGAGGAAUUGCAUCGGAAACUGUGUUUCUUGAGUGCAGAAGAGGAGAGUGGAACUCCAUGUGUAGCGGUGGAAUGCGUAGAUAUAUGGAAGAACACCAGUGGCGAAGGCGGCUCUCUGGUCUGUAACUGACGCUGAGGCUCGAAAGCGUGGGGAGCAAACAGG
rnacentral:rRNA from 1 species